UACGGAGGGAGCUAGCGUUGUUCGGAAUUACUGGGCGUAAAGCGCACGUAGGCGGCUUUGUAAGUUAGAGGUGAAAGCCCGGGGCUCAACUCCGGAACUGCCUUUAGACUGCAUCGCUUGAAUCCAGGAGAGGUGAGUGGAAUUCCUGGUGUAGCGGUGAAAUGCGCAGAUAUCAGGAGGAACACCAAUGGCGAAGGCAGCUCACUGGGACGAUACUGACGCUGAGGCACGGAAGGUCAGGGGAGCAAAACGGG
rnacentral:rRNA from 1 species